AACUGUCUUACAAUGCUAAAAAUCAAAGAAAUGCAACAUAAAUACUCAUCCACGACUUCAUCAAACCCCUAAACCAGGGUUCAGCCACUCAUGAUGCUCGGCGACUUUAGUCGGUUUGCUGAGAUGCUCCACGCCAUCCGCCUCAAGUCCUUCCCCCCUUUCGCUAAUUGAUCUGCUCCCAGCCUCCCUCUAUUCUUUUUUUUAUUCUUUCUUUCUCUUCAAAACAGAGCACUCCCUGUUUUUCAUUUUCUUUCUUUCUUCCCUUUCAAAACAGAGCAUCCCCCUCUCUUCCCUUCAGCCGAUGGCCACCCUCCUCCUUAUAUAGACUCCACCUUGAAGCCAAUGAUGGAUCGCGUGGAGAGGAUCGUCCGGGGUGCUCAUUUGGGAAGGGAGAAUGGAUCACGGGCUGCUGAUUCUCGGGCAUGAUGCUGGAGGGCAGAUCGCGAAUGAAGAGGAUGAAGGGGGUCAAUCCGUGGGAGAAUGGCCGGAUCUCGGGAGAAAGGCGUGAUCCG
rnacentral:lncRNA from 1 species